AUUGAACGCUGGCGGCAGGCCUAACACAUGCAAGUCGAGCGGAGCGGCGGACGGGUGAGUAAUGCCUAGGAAUCUGCCUGGUAGUGGGGGAUAACGUCCGGUAACGGGCGCUAAUACCGCAUCCUCUCAGAUGAGCCUCGGUCGGAUUAGCUAGUGGGUGGGGUAAGGGCCUACCAAGGCGACGAUCCGUAACGGGUCUGAGUGGAGGAUCAGUAACACGGGAACUGAGACAGGGUCCAGACCCUAACGGAGGGAAGAGGUGGGGAAUAUUGGACAAGGGGCGAAAGCCUGAUCCACCCAUGCCGGGGGUGGGAAAAGGGUCUUGGGAUUGUAAAGCACUUUAAGUUGGGAGGCGUUACUAACAGAAUAAGCACCGGCAAACUUCGUGCCAGCAGCGGCGGAAAUU
rnacentral:rRNA from 1 species